ACAGCUACUAUACCAUGCUAGGCCUCUUUCCCUGUCACGCCCCGAAUUUUUCGUUUUUCCGGGCACGCCGACAAAUCCGCCGUAUACAAAGAAAUUUUUUCUGUAUACGAAGCGAUAGCUGUACCUGCACCUGUAAUCAUACAAAACUUCAACUAGUAGUAUAGAAUUGCUAACAGAACUGUAAACAUAUAUAAAUAAACAUCAGAUUCACUGUACAUACAUAGUCUCCAUAAUACAGACAUCACUCGCUUCAGCGAUAAUCUAAUAUCAGUAUGUAUAAGAACCGAAAAAAACAAAACUACCUGAA
rnacentral:lncRNA from 1 species